GCGGUGCUGGGCGCCCGGUUGGACGGCGCGGCCGCGCUGGUGCUGCGGGGCCUGGCCCAGCUGGGCAUCGCCGCGACCCCGGCGUGGGUGCCGGCC
rnacentral:tRNA from 1 species